GGGAUAACACUUGGAAACAGGUGCUAAUACCGCAUAACCAUAGUUACCGCAUGGUAACUAUGUAAAAGGUGGCUAUGCUACCGCUUUUGGAUGGGCCCGCGGCGCAUUAGCUAGUUGGUGGGGUAAAGGCUUACCAAGGCAAUGAUGCGUAGCCGAACUGAGAGGUUGAUCGGCCACAUUGGGACUGAGACACGGCCCAAACUCCUACGGGAGGCAGCAGUAGGGAAUCUUCCACAAUGGGCGAAAGCCUGAUGGAGCAACGCCGCGUGGGUGAAGAAGGUCUUCGGAUCGUAAAACCCUGUUGUUAGAGAAGAAAGUGCGUGAGAGUAACUGUUCACGUUUCGACGGUAUCUAACCAGAAAGCCACGGCUAACUACGUGCCAGCAGCCGCGGUAAUACGUAGGUGGCAAGCGUUAUCCGGAUUUAUUGGGCGUAAAGGGAACGCAGGCGGUCUUUUAAGUCUGAUGUGAAAGCCUUCGGCUUAACCGGAGUAGUGCAUUGAAAACUGGGAGACUUGAGUGCAGAAGAGGAGAGUGGAACUCCAUGUGUAGCGGUGAAAUGCGUAGAUAUAUGGAAGAACACCAGUGGCGAAAGCGGCUCUCUGGUCUGUAACUGACGCUGAGGUUCGAAAGCGUGGGUAGCAAACAGGAUUAGAUACCCUGGUAGUCCACGCCGUAAAC
rnacentral:rRNA from 1 species